rnacentral:rRNA from 1 species
GAUGAACGCUGGCGGCGUGCCUAAUACAUGCAAGUCGAGCGAACAGAUGAGGAGCUUGCUCCUCUGACGUUAGCGGCGGACGGGUGAGUAACACGUGGAUAACCUACCUAUAAGACUGGGAUAACUUCGGGAAACCGGAGCUAAUACCGGAUAAUAUAUUGAACCGCAUGGUUCAAUAGUGAAAGACGGUUUUGCUGUCACUUAUAGAUGGAUCCGCGCCGCAUUAGCUAGUUGGUAAGGUAACGGCUUACCAAGGCAACGAUGCGUAGCCGACCUGAGAGGGGGAUCGGCCACACUGGAACUGAGACACGGUCCAGACUCCGACGGGAGGCAGAAGUAGGGAAUCUUCCGCAAUGGGCGAAAGCCUGACGGAGCAACGCCGCGUGAGUGAUGAAGGUCUUCGGAUCGUAAAACUCUGUUAUUAGGGAAGAACAAAUGUGUAAGUAACUAUGCACGUCUUGACGGUACCUAAGCAGAAAGCCACGGCUAACUACGU